rnacentral:lncRNA from 1 species
UAAUUUAUUAUUGGACUAAUUUGAUAGGUCACUUUAAAACAAGAUGCUAGUCAAUGGAAUAGGCUUACAAGUCACACCCUCUGGUUGUGGGUUCAAUGCCCUUUCACCUAUGCAUCUGGAAAAAAGAACGGUUGACAAUUCUUUGCUGUAUGUAACCAGAAAGGUGGUCGUACACAUUUAUUUUAAACUCAAACUUUAGUUGCUUUAACAUGUAUCCAUUUCAACAAAAUGGUACUUGAUCAUGACAAAAAGAAGGCUUAAUCGUGUGAUAUUAUUUUUGUUUUAGGUAUGUGUGUGUCUCUCUUUCUAUAUAUCUACCUAAUAUAUCUAAUUUUGAGUGUUCUUGCUUUGUGCACAUGCAUAGAUGUAGGUGAACGUGUCAUAACAUAUCUGCCCCGCAAGGUGCUUUUUGCAUAUUAAAUUAUGGCAAAUGUAAAUUGAAUACUCGCUUAUUACAAAUGAUGAGUUUCUUGCUUCUUGUUAUGUUUCAUUUUUACUCUUACGUUGAUUGUGAACAUCAAUAAUACUAUUUUCGAGUCAUGGUCAAUGUGAUGAGGAUAUCGGACGACGUUUACUUAUUUUAUUUAAGCUUUAUUUAUUUUCUUGGACUAUUAUUUAAAUUUGGACUUGUAUGGGCUCGGGCCCAAACUCGUUAGGGUUGCUUUACUAUUUAAACCUAUUUUGCAUUCUAAUAUUCAGUUGAUGAUGAAUGAAUAAUUAUUUUGGUGGCUUAUGGCGCAUCCCUCCCCUUCUUCUAUUGAAUUCUUCUUCUAUCCCCUCCCUUAAUUCCCUAUUCUUUCUGAAUCUUUCUUCUGUUUCUAUUAAUCAUCCUAUUGGUGCUGCAUCAAAUUUGGUAUCAGAGCCUAAACUUGGGUAAUCUCUCAUCUCCAAUCCAAAAAUCUCUUUCUAUUUCUUUCCUAAGAACUUGUGGAACAACAUACACAAAUAAACAUUUAGCAUGAGCAGCCAAGUUAUUAUUUUUCCAGCUUCUUCGUAGUUGUUCUUAAAAAAAAAAAUUGUUCACGUUACUGUUCACAGGCGGAAAUUUCAGUUUAGGUUUUUUUCUGCAAUUUCAGUUCACAUCCCAGCCCCCCAAAAAAAAAAAAAUCGUGUUACUGUUCACGGGUACUAUUCACACCCGAAAGUUUAUUUUUUUUGUAUUAUCAGCUUCAAAAAAAAAAAAAAAAUUGUGGUGUUGUUCCACAAAUCCCAAACCCUAGCAUUCAAGCCUACUUAGCCCUUCAACCCAUAUAUUCCAUCUCUAUAACCUACUCCAUUUAUUUUUUUAUCAAAACACUUGGGCCAUAAGCUAGUGGCCCAAAUUACUCCUAAAGCCCAUUAAACGCACAACCCAUCUCUUAUUAUCUAUUUAGCCAAUCCACUUGUUUUUCAGCCCAAUAAACACUAAAUCCAACCCACUUAUCACAUAUUAUCACAAUCGGCCCAACACCAUUCAACUCAUGAUCGGUCCCAAAUAUCCAACCAAGCCCGAUUAUAACCAAUCCAUUAAAAUCAAAUACCCCACAGUUUCACCCGAUUUCUCUCUCAUAACCACUCUCUUGCCGCUGCCUCCUCUAAUCACCAUCACGCCACCACUUCAUUAUCUAUUGUACCCAGGCAUCCAGAGCACUACCGCUUCAUCGCCAUAGGCCACCACCACUUACCCAAGAUCAUACACUUCCACCAUAAUUACCACACUCUUAUAUUUUCUCGUCCAUCUCAACAAUCUAAAAGCCACAGUCACUACACAGUUUUACGUCCACACCAAAACCAGCACAAGUUACAGUCUACAGGGGCUAAAACCAUUGGAUACGAAAGGAAGAAUAGAAGCAUAGUUGGGGCUUAGAAGUCGACAAUUCAGAUCAAGCAGCAUACAAAUAAUCAAAACUAAACAACAGGGAGUUCUUGAUUUCUAUUUAGUAUUGGUUUAUACUACUACUUCAUUUUUAAAAUUGCAUCAAUUAAAAUCUUGUGCUGCUGUUAUUGUGAUAAUUUUAGUCUUAAACCUCACUUGGUCAAAACCAUUAAUCGAAUUGACACCAGUGAUCGAAUUGAGUUCCAUUGUUCUCCACUUAAAUUGAUUGGAGAAUUUGACUAGUGUUGACCCUUGCUUUGCCAUUUUACAUGUACUAGCAGUAUUAGCUUGUUUUGGAUUUAAUUAAUCCCAAUAUUUAAAAUUAAAUUAAAAAAAAAUGGUACAAGUUAUUUUCCAUUGCUUGCACGUAUUGUUCACUGAUCUCAUCAUAGCACGUCAUUUAGCUGGUAUUACAUUGCAUGUAGUUGCGUAGUUGUCAUCUUGUCAUCUCUAUUUCCAAUACAUUGACCAUGGAUCCAUCCCAAUUUGAUGCACUCACUAGACAAUUAGCGCAACUUGCCACUAGCCUAUCGACUGUCCAAUCAGAUAUAACUGCUACUCGUGAGAAGAGAAAGAACCUAGCUGCUAAGUUGAGCAAUUUUAAGCGAACCCCUCGUUUAACUGACACUAAUUCUGAAGCAUCUCAUAAUAGACAAUAUCAUCGUGGACAAAGUGAUCAAAAAUAUUUUCGACGCGAUCGUAGGAAUAGGGAUCAGAUUCGUAAGCGAGAACGAGAUAAUUUUGAAAUUCUUACUCAAUGGAAUGCCCUUAAACAAGGAAAUCAAUUAGUGACUGAGUAUAUCGCGCAAUUUGAAGAAUUUCGAACCAAAUGUCAUUUAAUUGAGGAUGAAAGCAUGACUUUGAGUAGGUUUAGCCAAGGUCUGAGAGAUGAUCUUAAGCGCGAGCUUUUCCUUCGAGGUGUCACUACUCUUGAUCAAGCUUAUUCUUUAGCUCGAGAUUAUGAGUUGAUUAUUAGUACUCCAUAUGAAAAGCGUGGUCAUCGUCGUUCACCCAUCUAAUUAGCGUCGCCUCAUCAUAAGUCUAUCAUAAAACCUUCUCCGUCUAAUGUUCCUCCUAUUUGGAAAAAUAAUUGUGAAGGUCGUGAUAAUCCAAGAUCUUCUUCUUCAUGUAGAAAGCGUAAUGGCAAUCAUCUUUCGGUUUCAUUGGCUCCACUUCCUCCUGUUAAGUCCCUUCUAGGACCUCCCCCAUCUAAUAUUCCUCCAAUUUUGAAAAAUAAGGGUAUAAUUUGUGAAACUCCAAAGACUUCUCACUUGCUAUGCAUCAGCUGAAAGGAUUUUGGCCACAUCCCUUCCAAAUGUCCUAAUCGAGCCUUAGUCAUAGAAGAACGAAAGAAUGCAAUAGAAGAGUCGUUAGAAGAUCUAUCAUAUGGCCCUAAACUUGAAGAUUUUGAUGAUUAUAGUGAGGACACUUCCUUAAGUGGAAUCCUGACCCUUCCCGAGACUUUAGAAACUAUACCCCUUGUUUCCGACAACUCUCGAUCACAUGUUAUAUGUAAUACCCUUACCCAACUCAAAGAGUUUGAUGAUUUCACUAGUCACCCUUGGAGAAUCCAGUCGCUUGUUGUUAGCACUAAAUCGAAAUUCUCCACUACUGACCAACCUCAAACUAAUGGUCAAAUCGAAAUUGCUAACCGAAGUCUUGACAAUUUAUUACAGUCUCUAGUACAGAAAAAUCUUGAGAAUUGGGACUCGAUCCCCCCAAUUGUUCACAUCACAUAUAACAAUUCUAUGAAUCGGUCUCUAGGUCUAAAUCCAUUUGAAGUUGUUCAUAGUUAUAAGUCUAGGCGACCGUUAUAACUUAUUCCCAUGUCCCCGCAUGCUAAUGUGUUGUUGUCAGCUGAAGCAUUUGUAUAUCAUCUCCAUGACUUGCAUAUUGAGAUCAAUAAACAACAUGACGCAAGUAAUGCAUUAUAUAAACUUCAAGCUGAUUCGCAUAAACAAUAUUUUGAAUUUAAUAUUGGGGAUUAUGUCAUAUUGUAAGCUUGUAGUGCUGGUCCUUUAAAAAUUUUAAAGCAUGUUGGUUCAAAUGCACAUGUCAUUGCCCUUUCAUCACAUUUUAGCCACCACUCUAUUUUAAAUAUCGAGGACUUCAUUACUUACAAAUACCGUAUUACUUCCUUUGAUGAUCCUUUCUACCUAAAUUUGUGGACCCUCAAUUUGACUAUAUUGAUAUUUCUACUUUAAUAUCAUUUAUCACAGCACACAAAGAUAAAAUUGAUGUUAUUUUAGAUGAACGUGUUGUAUUGACCAAUAAUGGCAAAAUUCAGUACUUCCUUGUUUGCUGGGUAAAUCGACGUACUUCUUAUGCUUCUCAUUAUGUACAAUCAUGUGAAAAUGUUGAAGAUGAGGUGUAUGGGUAUUGGUUAAUUGAAGUCCAGUAUCAGUACUUGGUUAGAAGGAAAGAUCGGCCCCCUUGGUCAAAUCAUAUUCUUGGGAAUAAGCUACAGUUUUCAGUACUAUCAAUUAUGGAAUUUCGUUACUUGGUUCGUCAGAAAGAUCGUCCCCCGUGGCUUGACUUGAAGCAUUUGGAGUAUCAGAUUAACUGCAGCCUAUACUAUCUAUCAACUCGACAGGGUCGAGUUUUUCUCCCACCCCGGGAGAGUAGAUGAGAAUAUCGGACGACGUUUACUUAUUUUAUUUAAGCUUUAUUUAUUUUCUUGGACUAUUAUUUAAAUUUGGACUUGUAUGGGCUCGAACCCAAGCUCGUUAGGGUUGCUUUGCUAUUUAAACCUAUUUUGCAUUGUAAUUUUCAGUUGAUGAUGGAUGAAUAAUUAUUUUGGUGGCUUAUGGUGCAUCCCUCCCCUUCUUCUAUUGAAUUCUUCUUCUAUCCCCUCCCUUAAUUCCCCAUUCUUUCUGAAUCCUUCUUCUGUUUCUAUUAAUCAUCCUAUUGGUCCUGCAUCACAAUGUCUAUGGAUUCACGAAUAAUUUAACUUUUUGUCUUUUUUCCAUGGAUAUGCCAUGCAGUGUUUGAUUUUGAAUUUGUUAUUAUUUGACGUUAUAAAUUCUGUUGUGAUGACAGGAUAACGCAUCCUGCCCCUGGGAUCCCUGAACAGUUGAUACAAGAAAUGUUUUACCAUAACAAUGGUGUUUCAAGAGAAGGUCUUGGCCUGUAUAUCAGCCAGAAACUAGUGAACAUCAUGAAUGGGACUGUACAAUAUCUUAGAGAGGCCGAGGGAUCAUCUUUCAUUAUUCUAGUAGAAUUUCCAUUUGCUCGCCAACCACCCGCAGAUGAAAUUGGUCUAAAACUAAAAUAGGCAAAAAUAGAUUGAGGAAGUGAGAGAUGUUUUCUAGCUCGAAGAUUUUACAAUGACUGUUCAAGUGGAUAGAGUCCUUAUUGGGAAAUUGAGACUCUAGUGGCUUCUGCAUUCUAUACCAUUUCUGCUAGUCAAGUUCAAAGGAAUUGUCUAUUUCGUUGAAAUUGAGCAGUGGAUUGAACUUUUUCUGGGCAUGACGUUAAUGAGUGAUUCGUAACUUUCAGUGAUUAACUUGUUGAGGACAGAGUUCGUUUGUCAAAGUCCAAGACGAGUUGAUGCCGGACUUGGAAUUGAAGGCAUUGAAGCAGUAAAAAUGUAGUUUGGUUGUCAUCCCUGGAAAGAAGUUCAACUAAACAAGUCUCGUAUUGAGAUUGAGCAGUGACUGAAUUUGUUGCCAGCCAUGCAGCGUAUGGGAAUUCAUUUGUUCAGAAUUGAGUGUCCAUUAAUGAAGAGCCCAAGUUGAUAGUCUACAUUGGAAUUGGAGCAGUAAAAUGUAUUGGAGUUCCAUCCUUGUUUAAAGAUUCACCUCCGAUUUUGUCAAUUUCAAAUUUUUUUCCACUUUCUGCAUAACUGUCUCGUAAAUUAUAUGUGCUGCAAGAUUUUUGCCCAACAAGUGGCCAGGUGCUAAUUGCUGUUCAUUUAUGGUAAAAAAUGCACACAGUCCAUUUUGGUCUGUGUGUUUGGACAAAACUUGCAGAAAUUUUGUAGUUCUAAUAUUUUUUUAUCAAUUUCUACAAGGUCUAUUUCAUUUGGUUUGGACAAUUGACCAAUUCAGUCGAAAUUAGACCACUCUUACAGGAAGGUUCCUUUUAACUGC